rnacentral:rRNA from 1 species
UACAGAGGUCUCAAGCGUUGUUCGGAUUCAUUGGGCGUAAAGGGUGCGUAGGUGGCGCCGUAAGUCGGGUGUGAAAUUUCGGAGCUUAACUCCGAAACUGCAUUCGAUACUGCGGUGCUUGAGGACUGGAGAGGAGACUGGAAUUCAUGGUGUAGCAGUGAAAUGCGUAGAGAUCAUGAGGAAGACCAGUGGCGAAGGCGGGUCUCUGGACGGUACUGACGCUGAGACGCGAAAGCGUGGGGAGCGAACAGG